rnacentral:rRNA from 1 species
UACAGAGGGGGCAAGCGUUAUUCGGAAUUAUUGGGCGUAAAGGGCGCGUAGGCGGCCAUUCAAGUGACGGGUGAAAGCCCUCGGCUUAACCGAGGAACUGCCUGUCAGACUGGAUGGCUUGAGACCGGGAGAGGUGAGUGGAAUUCCCAGUGUAGCGGUGAAAUGCGUAGAUAUUAGGAAGAACACCAGUGGCGAAGGCGGCUCACUGGUCCGGUACUGACGCUGAGGUGCGAAAGCGUGGGGAGCAAACAGG